rnacentral:rRNA from 1 species
AGUGAACGCUGGCGGUAGGCCUAACACAUGCAAGUCGAACGGCAGCACAGUAAGAGCUUGCUCUUACGGGUGGCGAGUGGCGGACGGGUGAGGAAUACAUCGGAAUCUACUUUUUCGUGGGGGAUAACGUAGGGAAACUUACGCUAAUACCGCAUACGACCUACGGGUGAAAGCAGGGGAUCUUCGGACCUUGCGCGAUUGAAUGAGCCGAUGUCGGAUUAGCUAGUUGGCGGGGUAAAGGCCCACCAAGGCGACGAUCCGUAGCUGGUCUGAGAGGAUGAUCAGCCACACUGGAACUGAGACACGGUCCAGACCCCUACGGGAGGCAGCAGUGGGGAAUAUUGGACAAUGGGCGCAAGCCUGAUCCAGCCAUACCGCGUGGGUGAAGAAGGCCUUCGGGUUGUAAAGCCCUUUUGUUGGGAAAGAAAAGCAGCAGGUUAAUACCCCGCUGUUCUGACGGUACCCAAAGAAUAAGCACCGGCUAACCUCGUG